UCCCUGGUGGUCCAGCAGCUAGGAUGCCACACUUUCACUGCCAAGGGCCCAAGUUCAAUCCCUGGUCAGGGAA
rfam:Ovis aries breed Texel chromosome 8, whole genome shotgun sequence.